AUUGAACGCUGGCGGCAGGCUUAACACAUGCAAGUCGAGCGGGGGAAGGUAGCUUGCUACCGGACCUAGCGGCGGACGGGUGAGUAAUGCUUAGGAAUCUGCCUAUUAGUGGGGGACGACAUCUCGAAAGGGAUGCUAAUACCGCAUACGUCCUACGGGAGAAAGCAGGGGAUCUUCGGACCUUGCGCUAAUAGAUGAGCCUAAGUCGGAUUAGCUAGUUGGUGGGGUAAAGGCCUACCAAGGCGACGAUCUGUAGCGGGUCUGAGAGGAUGAUCCGCCACACUGGGACUGAGACACGGCCCAGACUCCUACGGGAGGCAGCAGUGGGGAAUAUUGGACAAUGGGGGGAACCCUGAUCCAGCCAUGCCGCGUGUGUGAAGAAGGCCUUAUGGUUGUAAAGCACUUUAAGCGAGGAGGAGGCUACCCUAGUUAAUACCUAGGGAUAGUGGACGUUACUCGCAGAAUAAGCACCGGCUAACUCUGUGCCAGCCGCCGCCGUAA
rnacentral:rRNA from 1 species